rnacentral:misc_RNA from 1 species
CGAGCGCAUGAGUUGUGCUGGACCUGUGACUACCGGAAGGCCCCCCGCUGUUGUGCGGCCGACUUUCGGUGCCUGCGUCCUUUCAAUCGUUGGCUAUCGUGUGCCUAUACUUUAGACGGGUGCUUGCGUGCUGCUACCAGUUGCAUUGGAAGUUGCAUGGCUGAAUGUGGCUUUUGUCGUGGAUAACCUGAAGGUGUAUCACGUCAACUAUAAAGCGUUCAUGGCGUUGCCUCACGUUGCUAGCCUCUUAGGCCAGCGGCAUCAAGGCCACCUCAUUAACGCUAACGGUUUCGGAUGUGGCCCACUCUAAAGGCUGCAGGUGCUUUGGCACCUCAUGCCUAAAAAAUAUUGUCCGGUUGGAAACAACGACGGUUGGCCUAGCUGAUACCUCGUGUGUAAGCUAGCGCU